rnacentral:lncRNA from 1 species
CUACCCUGGGUUCCGGGCAGGGGUGGAACUGGAUUCUGCCUGGAUGGGGAUCGGAUGGGGGUGGAGGUUUGAUUUGGGAAGCAGAGCACAGCAGCCCAAAUUUGUUGUAAUGGCGGCGGCUACAGGUACCCUUGUGACUAUGAAGAUUGACAAAAAGUUGACGGCAACGAUGAAUUCUCUUCCAGAACUUACAUCCCAGAAGGCCCUCCCCUACUUCGGGUCUCCCUAGAGUUGAAGAAACUAAGGUUCAGAAGAACAAUGGCCUGUCCAGGAUCUCACAACCAGCAUCUACUUGUUCCAGUUCAAGUUAGGUUUGGCUGUUAAUAACAUCACCUGGUGG